rnacentral:rRNA from 1 species
AUUGAACGCUGGCGGCAGGCUUAACACAUGCAAGUCGAGCGGGGUGAUGGUGCUUGCACUAUCACUUAGCGGCGGACGGGUGAGUAAUGCUUAGGAAUCUGCCUAUUAGUGGGGGACAACAUCUCAAAAGGGAUGCUAAUACCGCAUACGUCCUACGGGAGAAAGCAGGGGAUCACUUGUGACCUUGCGCUAAUAGAUGAGCCUAAGUCGGGUUGGCUAGUUGGUGGGGUAAAGGCCUACCAAGGCGACGAUCUGUAGCGGGUCUGAGAGGAUGAUCCGCCACACUGGGACUGAGACACGGCCCAGACUCCUACGGGAGGCAGUAGUGGGGAAUAUUGGACAAUGGGGGGAACCCUGAUCCAGCCAUGCCGCGUGUGUGAAGAAGGCCUUAUGGUUGUAAAGCACUUUAAGCGAGGAGGAGGCUCCUUUGGUUAAUACCCAAGAUGAGUGGACGUUACUCGCAGAAUAAGCACCGGCUAACUCUGUGCCAGCAGCCGCGGUAA